rnacentral:rRNA from 1 species
AAUAUUGCACAAUGGGCGCAAGCCUGAUGCAGCCACGCCGCGUGCGCGACGAAGUCCUUCGGGUCGUAAAGCGCUUUUCGGGGAGAUGAGCACGGACAGUAUCCCCGGAAGGAGGAACGGCCAACUACGUUCCAGCCGCCGCGGUAAAACGUAGGAUCCGAGCGUUAUCCGAAUUCAUUGGGCGUAAAGCGCAUGCAGGCGGCCGCACAAGUUGGAUGUGAAAUCUCCCGGCUCAACUGGGAGGGGACGUUCAAAACUGUGCGGCUCGAGGGCGGUAGAGGAAGGUAGAAUUCCCGGUGUAGUGGUGAAAUGCGUAGAUAUCGGGAGGAAUACCCGUGGCGAAGGCGACCUUCUGGACCGUUUCUGACGCUCAGAUGCGAAAGCUAGGGGAGCAAACAGG